rnacentral:rRNA from 1 species
UACGUAGGUGGCAAGCGUUGUUCGGAAUUACUGGGCGUAAAGCGCGCGUAGGCGGCUCUUCAAGUCAGACGUGAAAGCCCCGAGCUUAACUCGGGAACUGCGUUUGAUACUGUCGAGCUAGAGUGUGGAAGGGGCGAUUGGAAUUCCGUGUGUAGCGGUGAAAUGCGUAGAUAUACGGAGGAACACCAGAGGCGAAGGCGGAUCGCUGGGCCAACACUGACGCUGAUGUGCGAAAGCUAGGGGAGCAAACGGG